rnacentral:rRNA from 1 species
GAUGAACGCUGACAGAAUGCUUAACACAUGCAAGUCUUUGGCGAAUCUGUGCUUGCACCGGCUAGCCAAGGCGGACGGGUGAGUAACGCGUAAAGAACUUGCCCUGCAGACAGGGAUAACAGACGGAAACGACUGAUAACACCUGAUACAGUUGCCGGCACGCAUGUGCCUGGCAAUGAAAAGAGAUGCUGCAGGAGAGCUUUGCGUCCUAUUAGCUUGUUGGUGAGGUGACGGCUCACCAAGGCGAUGAUAGGUAGCCGGCCUGAGAGGGUGAACGGCCACAAGGGGACUGAGAUACGGCCCUUACUCCUACGGGAGGCAGCAGUGGGGAAUAUUGGACGAUGGGGGCAACCCUGAUCCAGCAAUUCUGUGUGCACGAAGAAGGUUUUCGGAGUGUAAAGUGCUUUCAGCAGGGAAGAAGAAAGUGACGGUACCUGCAGAAGAAGCGACGGCUAAAUACGUG